UACGUAGGGGGCAAGCGUUGUCCGGAUUUAUUGGGCGUAAAGAGCGUGUAGGCGGCUUUGCAAGUCCGUUGUGAAAACUCGAGGCUCAACCUCGAGACGCCGGUGGAAACUGCAAAGCUAGAGUCCGGAAGCGGAGAGUGGAAUUCCUGGUGUAGCGGUGAAAUGCGCAGAUAUCAGGAAGAACACCCGUGGCGAAGGCGGCUCUCUGGGCCUUACCUGACGCUCAGGUGCGAAAGCUAGGGGAGCGAACAGG
rnacentral:rRNA from 1 species